UAAUAGCAGAGAUAGAGUAAA
ensembl:piRNA 21ur-5872 ncRNA